rnacentral:lncRNA from 1 species
UCCUUGUUCUCUGUUUAUGAUGCCUCUUCUCAUUGUGCUCAUAUUUCCUGGAUACCUACCCUUGCCUAAAAAGAUCAAGCCUUUUAUGUUACACUUGAUCACCUUAAGUCGUCCAGUGUCCUUGUUGAGGUUAUCAGUUCUCUUUAUUUUUAAAUAUAUCUAGGAGGCCUCCAAAAACUGAGAGAUACAGGAAUAAAACUUUCCUGGCCUUGAAUUUAAAGAAGAAGUCAGGUUCAUAGUAACACUACACUCAUCGGUAUGUUGGCCUCCAAAAGACAUUUGCUCAGUUACAUACACCUUUUAUAUUCCCCCCCCCAAAAAAAGGAUUAUAAAGAUUAUAUAAAUUGUGUUUAUCACCUUUCCACUCAUUCUCUAAGAGCAAGGACAUGACACAUGGGCCCUUAGAUCAGGAGCUAUGAUCUCUUCCAUAACAGUCUCUUACUUCUAUAACAAAUGAGCCCCUAAACAUCCAGCUGUCUCUGUAAAACCUAUGUAAAUAAUAAAUAAAAAAUUACAUGUCAAAUGAAAAAAAUUAAAACUCAAUGGGCCAGAUAGAUAUGCCCCCCAAGGUACUAAUCAAUAGUGGGGUACGUUUGGUUCCUGGAGCUCAUGGCUCACCUGGCUAUUACUACUCUUGGGACCCCUCAGUAGUAUCUGUUUAAUUCUCUGGUUUGGACCGUGCCUGGUUCGCUGUUUUCAAAAUUUCUUGCAGAAACGAUUGAGGGCAUUCACCAGCCAGACAGUCACAGAGUUCAUCAUGGCAGGGUAUCAGCCAGUACGGCAAAAGGAAGAGGCCCCCACUUGCCACGGGCCUCAUCAGAUCCAGGUCUAGCCCCAAUCUGCGCCCCUUGUCAGCAGGAAGCAGCUCCAGAAGAAGAGACCUUCACCCAACUAUCAUACAACAAAAGCCUGGAAUGAUAGGUCUCCCACCACCUCAGCAGCUAUUAAGUACAGUAGCUGCCCUCUUCCUAUGGUGCCUUGCCCCUUCCCCUGUGUGAUGUCAUGCCAAGAUGGUUGCUCCCACCAAAGAACAAACCCUUCUUCCCAGCAUGCCCCUGUUCCCACCUAGACAGUAACCUAAUACUCGCUCACCUCCUACCACCUAGUGACAUCACCGGCUCCUCCACUCCCUGAUCACUACCUCACUCAACCCCACCUCAGCCCCUACAAGCCCCACCCCAGUCUCUAUAAAAGACUCUCCCUGCCCCGGCCAUAUUGCUUUUGUCUCUCCUUUGUUCAGAGACAGCCCGGCAGAUCUAUUCCCCUAAUAAAGGCUUGCUGUGGCCUGGUCUGGUCUUGGUCUUCGGCCCUUUUACCUGACACCGGUGACCACAUUUUAUGACACAACAGUUUUCAGCCUGUGAAAAUAGUCUCUCGGGAAGAGAUGUGGAACUGUAAGAGGUUAUAGUGUCCUAUCUGACAACUUGCAUGUUUGCAUUAACCCUUUACAUUCAUACAUCAUUGUCUCCUGCUCUGUUGCUCAUAAUCCCCAAGACUCUUGAGAAGUGAGCAGGACUGAAAGGUGCAUCGCAUGGAGUGUAAGUAAAGAGCUUAUUGAGAGUGAGAAUGCAGUUGAUUUGGUUUUUUUUAUGGUACUGGGAAUUGAACCCAGGAUCAAUGGGCUGCCUCUCCAGUCCUUUUAUUUUUUAUUUUGAGACAAAGUCUCACUAAGUUGCCCACACAAGACUCAAACUGGUGAUCAUCCUGCCUCAGCCUCCUUCAGAACUGGGUGUUUUAAAUUUUGUUUUGUUUUUUCAAUCCUACUCCAUUUCUCUUGCUAGGAAAUGACAUUAUUUUAUUAUAAUUUCUCAUUAUUUCCUACAGGAGCCAGCCCCACUGAUUUCAGAGGGCCAUCUAGGGAAAGGUGAAAGAAAUAUGCAUGUUAUCCUAUACACAGAGGGCCUUCCUCUGUCUAAAAGUAAUGCUUGUCCUAGCAAGGCCUUAGUCUGUAUGUGUUCCCAUGUGUGUGAGCUGUUCAGGGAUUACACAUACAUUUUAAAAUAUAUCUAUCAAAAAACCAAUCCAUUGAUCAAUCAAUCAUGUGCCUAAAUUUAUUUUGAAGGUAAGAAAAUGCAUAGUCAUACAUUAAUACCUGUUACUUGGAUUCUUAUAAAUUAGCAAUGUUUUUAAGGAUUCAGGGAGGGGUUUUUGACAGAAACAAAAAUCACUGACUUAAUAUUUGCUUAUAGAUCCAACAAUUUUUAUGAGCUUCUACACACUUGGUAGAUAAUGUACAAGGUAUCAAGAUUGUAAUAUGUAGUCUCUAUUCUCAUAGCUGCUUCUAAUCAAGAAUAAUAUAUUCAAUAUUUCUGUUAGGAGUAAAUUACUAUAUAAGAAUUUCCAUUCAAGCAUAAAAUCAUGUGUCAGAUGGCUAUUACAUCCUACGAGUGCCCCAAGAAGGGGAAAAUAGUGUGUUCUAGAAAGGCAUCUCUGUGAAGGAGCAGAGAAUUGGCUACACCUCGAACGAUGAGGAACAUUUAAACAGGUACAACAGUGGUAGGAGUGAGGUGAUGAACCUGGUUUUAUGUUGUUACUAGAGAAGCUGGACCUGAAUUAAAGUUGAGCAUGUAUUAUCUCAGAUACUUCUGAACCUGGGAGAUGAAGGUGAGUCUGCCCCUUCCAUAGGUAGGCCUGGUACCUGAGCCUGGGGAUGUGGUCUGGGGGAAGCUGGGGAGAUCUUUGAGUGCAUGCCUCAGAGACCGAGGGACUGUCCAUUUUCAUCUGGACAUACAUUAUAGACAUACCUUCUUAAAUUGGCUUGUGUUAACUUGGAAGUUUAGUACAGCACAGUUUAUCAUAGAAUAAGAAUAGACCCCCAUGAAAAAUGUGGAACUAAGUUUAACUAUUAUGAGAACAUGAGGAGGCUUCACCAUCUCUUAGUUCAGAGCUGCUCUCUUUUCUUGAGAGAUAAGCAGUGAAGGCCCUUCUGUGUAGGCUUUUGAGACUCACACUAUGACCACUGCAAUAGUUUGAAUCUUCUGUGUCCUCAUAGAUCCAUGUGUUAAAGGCUUGGUCCCAGUGUGGCACUAUUGACAGAUACUGAAACCCUUAGGAGGUGGAGUCUAGUGGGAGGAAGUUAAGUCAUUGAGGGGCGUGUCCUUGAGAUAUCGGGAUGCUAGCCCCUCCUCUCUCUUUGCUCCUUGGCUCAUGAUAUAGGUGGUUUACCCUGCUACUCUGCUACGUGGUCUGCUUAAGAUGCACUGCCUCGCCACAGGCCAAACCAAAGGGGCCAAUGAAAAUGGGCUGGAACCUCCAAAAGUCUGUACUUGGAAAGGAAACAGCCCCCAGAGACCCUCCUUGUGAUUUCCAGAUGGCAGGAUGCCUCCUAUUAGUAGGACCUAACUGGAAGCCAACUGGAGAAAAUGCCCAUAACUGGUUGAAAACUUCCAUGUGCAGAAGUCCAAGAAAUCCCAACCUCCAGCCAGCAACCAAUGCAAGACUACUAUCCUGAUGUACUGUCACACUGGAGUCAUUUAAAGUCAGUUUUUCUAUGGCACUCUUCAGGUUAUUAUAUUCAGACUGAUCUAUAGGAUACAUUCCUGCAAAUACCAUUGGUUUCACUGAUUUAAAUACAGGCAAGGGCUCCACUGGAUGAUUAUGUAAAUACAACGUAUCUCCUAUUUGUGCUUCAGUGACAUCUUUCAUCCCAGCAAUCAAAUAGCCCACCUGUCCUGCAUAUAAUUUAAGAGUUGGCUGCUCAUUAGGAUUCAGAACUCCUGCUUCAUUAACUUUGCAUGUCUUUUGAGUAUGUGCUGAUACAAUUUUAUCUCCUUUGGAAACCCACUCCAUCAAACAACACUACAUUGGCUAUCACACCUCUAUAUUGGUCAAAGGUGGAGUCAAAUACCAAAACUCUCAGAGGAUUUUUGCGAUGCACCUUAGGAAGGGGUAUUCUUUCAAUAACUGCCUGAAGAACAUGUUCAACAUUUGUUCCAAGUUUAGCAGAAAUCUUAAUACAAUCAUCACUUGGAAUAUCAAAUACUUUUUCAAUUUGUUUUUCAACCCUUUCAGGAUGUGCAUUCUUCAGAUCUGUCUUGUUUAUAACUGGAAUUAUUGACAGCUGUGCUUCAAAAGCAAGAAAGAAGUUUGCUACAGUUUGGGCUUGAAUACCCUCAUUUGCAUCGACCACCAGUAAAACACCCUGGCAAGCAGAAAGUGACCUGGAUACUUCAUAACUGAAAUCAACAUGGCCUGGUGUAUCAAUAAGAUUUAAAACGUACUCCUUUCCUUCAAAAUUGUAAAAAAGAGAUGCUGUCUGUGCUUUAACAGUGAUUCCUGUUUCUCGUUCCACUUGCAGUUUAUCAAGAACUUGCUUAUUGUCUUAUCAACUGUUCCUGUUAGUUCUAACAGCCUGUCAGCUGAAGUACUUUUGCCAUGAUCCACAUGUGCAAUGAUACUGAAAUUUCUAGUAUCUUCAACAGGAAAUCUAGAUGUGUCUGGUUUUUCCCAAGAUCACAUUGGAGGAGCUGUGGAAGGAUUAAAUAAGCAGAAUGGAGCCCGCGUGCUCCAGGCUCUGCCACCCUAGAAAUAACUGGAAGCGGGGUCCACUCGCAAUCCCAGGAAGCCCCGAAAGAGUGCAUGGAGCACGCUGUGAAGUCCAGAAGGGGGCGUAAUCACGGGCUUAGAGGCGGUCACCUUGUGCCGUGCAGAGCUGCAGAGCCUGUCGCUAGCCCAGGACCCUGCAGCAGCCCCGUGUCUGGCAGCGGGCCAGAACCGGGGUGGCUGGGGUCGUGCGGCCCCUGUGGCACAUGGCAGGAGCACGCGUCUGUGCCAGCAGCCCCGGCCUGCGAGGGUCCACAUGGCCUGGGCACUGGAGCCCACAAGCUGGUUUGUUCCCAAGAGCCCAGCUAAGCGCCGCAAGGAAGAAUCUGGAUCGCUCUAGAGGCUAAAUCAGGUUGCCUUCCAGUUUUCACCCCACGACUCCCGGCAGGAGGCCAGAAACCAGCACCUUCGCUCUCAUUUUUUGUUCUGUAUACCCUAAAGUUGAAUUGCUAAAUCAUAUGGUAAUUCUGGUUUUAGUUUUUAGAGAAACUACCAUAUAGUUUAAUAUAGUAGCUGUAUCAUUUUCUAUUGCCACUAAUGGUGUUCAUGGUUGCAAUUUCUCCCCAUCCUUGCCAACACUUAUUUUUAAAAAAAUAGUAGCCAUUCUAAUGAGUGUGAGGUGGUAUCUCAUUGUGACUUUAAUUUGCUUUUCCCUAAUGAAGCAUCAAUAUUUUUUCCAGGAAAUUUAUAGUUUAACUCUUCCAUUUAAAUCUUUAAUCCAUUUUGAGUUAAUCUUUAUAUGUAAUGACUUUAUUUUUUUGCAUGUGAACAUACAAUUUUUCCAGAACUACUUGUUGAAAAGACUUUCUCUUCCCAUUUACUGGCCUUGGAAAUCUUGUCAAAAAUAAUUAGGUCACUUGUGAAGGGUUUAUUUCUGUACUGUUUAUUCUAUUCCACUGAUCUAUGUCUGUUUUUAAUGUCUUUAUGUGCCAUACUGUUUUGAUUACUAUAGCUUUGUAAUAAGUUUUGACAAAAUGUGAUUGGUCCAAAGCUGUUCUUUUUCUUAAUUAUUUUGUUAUUCUGGAUCCCCAGUUGAUCUGAGGAUGGAUUUUUCUGUUUCUGCCAAAAAGUACCACUGAGAUUUUGAUAGAAAUUUCAUAAAAUCUUUGGGUUAUUUGGUUAAUACUGAUAUCUGUUUUCAUUUCUUUCUCUCUUUUUUUUUUCGUACCAGGGAUCGAGCUUGGGACCUGGUGCUUGUGAGGUGGUUGGCAGCACCACUGAGCUAAAUCCCCCACCCUGUUUUCAUUUCUUCUGACACAAGAUUAACCAACUUCAAAAUUGUUACACUUAGUUUCUAAAAGAGACAAGGAGAACUGCUGUGCUUAAAGAACUUUCAGAGAUUGUGCACAAUGUGCCCGCAGGGCUGUGUUCCUCUUUUCCCUCCUAGAACCGGUCCAUGUUUUAUUCCCAGCCAGCCUCCUCUUAGCAGAACAGGACAUGAACACUCGUGUAAAAGUCCUUACAAUAUUUGUGCUAGUCAAUCGGCAUAAAUUCAAACGUGCAAUGAUGGAAUCAUUGGUACUACUUUUAAUUCCAGGGAAAAAGGACUUUUUGGUUGAUCAGUGGCAAGUGCCAGCCCGCUAUAAAUGUAGACUCUCUCCCUCCCUUGCUUCCUACAGCAAUAGGCCCUUAACUGCUCCUUAGCAAUUUUGCAUUGCCCAUUUUGCUUCAUAUAUAUAUUUCUUUUUAGGACUGAGAAUUUGAACCUCUUUGACAAGUCUUUAAAAAUGCAUCAUUAUGGGAGAGACUAAUUAUUCUUAGGACUUUGAUAAUCUUUUAUUUUUGAAAGGCCAUUCAUUCAUAUAUAUAUGUAUUUCUUUUUAGGACUGAGAAUUUGAACCUCUUUGACAAGCCUUUAAAAAUGCAUCAUUAUGGGAGAGACUAAUUAUUCUUAGGACUUUGAUAAUCUUUUAUUUUUGAAAGGCCAUCCAUUCACCUGUUUUGUUCAUUCAGAUGAAAAUUAAUAGAACACACAUCAUGAUUUUCAAAGCUAUUUUGAAAUGAUGGAAACCCUGCCCAAACCUUUGAAGAAAAGCACUUGCUUUAAUAGAUUUGAGAAGGUAUCCUAGCAACCACUCUAUAGUGAAAUUUAUCAAUUUCUCAGGGAGAAUUUGUAUUAAAUCCAAGAAAGAGACACUUCAAUUUUAAUUUCUUAGAGUCAUUUUUUCUACAUUGUUUCAGAGAUCGGACAUUCUUAGAUAUCUUCACUCUUGAGACUUCAUUUAAUAACCACUAAAAGCAUAUUUGAUGUUACCCUACAUGGGCUGUCUCCUUCAGUGGUACUGAAUUCCAGCUGGUACAGAAAGAUGAUAGAUAGAUAGGAGGUGUAUAUUUUAAAAUAGUAUAAGAAGCCAAAAAAAGUGCAAAAAUAUUAUAUAUGUAUUUGUGCUUUUUUGUUUUUAUUUCUAUACAUGCAAAAAUAUGGCCCAAAACCUUGUUGACCCUGAGGAAGCCUGAGGCCUAGAAAACAUUCAUUCACACUAAUCUGGCUUUUCUUUGGUUUUAUAAAAGGGAAGAGAUUUAUUUGGUUUUGCUUUCAGAUUUCAGUUAUUUCUAAAUUGAAAACUUUAAAAAAAUGUGAAUGCAAAUGAAAAUAGAAUUUGUUUCCAGAUGUAUAAACACAUCAAGCAUGAAAUGACAUGAACCAAAUAUGCAUUCUGCAAGUAGGAUUCAGAAGUGAGCUGGCUAUUAAAAUUAAAUAGUGUUAACAAUGCAAUUCUAGAUCACCAGGGAAUAGGGCCUGCAUAGAAAAUUCAUAUGCGUGAGAAAGACUUAGUCUCAGGGGUUUUGUUAUCUUGAAAAGCAAAGUGAAACUGCUAUGUGGAUUGGUCUAUGGGGAUUUAUAGUUUGUGUGUUGUUUGCAGUCAUUUAGUGUCUACCUAGAUAUAUAUGCGGAUGUGUACAUGAGGACAUGCAUGCACACAACAUAGUUAUUUUAAUUAUGAUGCUAUGAUAAUUUAGUUGUAGGGAGAGAAUUUCCAUAACUUAGCAGGAAUGCUAAUGUUUCUUUGAUGUAUGCCAGUGACAGAUGAAGACUUUAUUUAUAAUGUAUUAAGAUGAACCCUACAUUUAUAGCUACAGCUUUCUUCUGGAAUGAUGCCAAUUAACAAGAAUACAAGUAGAGCAUACUUUUCCUUCCAAAAUAGCAGGGAUUCAAUAAAGAUUUGUUGAUUUCAUUAUUCUAUAUUCUUCGAUUAGAUUUUUAUUUAAGUAUAAUAUGAAUUAUA